ensembl:lncRNA
AACAAACAGGAGAGCUUUGAAAAAGCAAAGGGACAAGGACAGAUCUGAAGGCUGAAGGGAAUCAUCAGAGAGUGUAAAGAACAAGAGAAAUGCUUCUGCUGGAGGACCCUCAGACACAGCAGGACAGGAAGGAUGCAUGCCGAGAGAGAUGGCAACACACACAGAGACACACACAGCAGCGCCAGCAUUUUGCUACCAGAUAAACCUGCAUGAAAACACUAGCACAGCCAGGAAGGCCUGCUUUAGAGACACUUGUUCCUCACUCCCU